CCAGCAUGUCCACCAUUUCUGGUUUUAAGCUUGAACGGUGACAUGUCACCACAUUUCCCCCAGUACUAAACACUCUCUCUGAAGGUGAGCUGGUGGCAGGAAUACAAAGAUACUUUUGUGCAACCCUGCUCAUUCUUGGGAAAUUUAUCUGAUGGAGUCUCCACCAUUUCAGAGGAUCUUCCUCACUGUCAAUGGAUGGAGAAAGCAGGUAGCUAUUUAGCUCAGAGGCUAUGGCUUCUUCAAGUUGCAGAGCUGCUGGCAUGGCUGAUGUCGUUUUAAAGAAGCUUCCUAAGGACUUCCUUGCUUUUUUGCCUGGUGGAGGUAGAUCGAUGUCAGGAUUCUCUCUGCUUGUGCUACUCCCAGAUUCAGAUGUAUCCUUGACAUACAGAGCAGAAAUAAUAUUACAGAUGGAAAAGAAAACAUUUGCAGUGGUGGAAUUUGCAUAUGACAGUUCGGUGGAAAUCAUCCCAACCACAUGGCUGGAGGAGACCACUGAAGGGAUAUUCUGUUACUGGACAUUUCUGAACACACGGCAGUUGGUUCAAAAAAGUGCCAUGCCUGACAAACAAAAAUGGAAACGGUUCCGUAUUAAAAAAUUUUGGCUAAGAACAGGUACAACAGCCCGUUUUUGCCACUUUAUUAACAAUACAGAGUGUAUAUAUUGCAAAAUCUGCUUCAAGGUGCAAAAGCGUAUGUGACGAACGGAUCACGAAUUGACCGAGGCUCAGGAUGUAAGGGAAUACAGAAACUGAAAUUUAUUAUUAUGAAUUAUAUUGAUGAUACGUGUAGGCCUAUUUAAUAUAGCCUAUAAUGUUGUAAUCCAACAGCAUAAAGGGCUGCGUUUCCCAAAUGCAUCAGCAGGUGCAGUUGUAGGCCCAUAGCAUACCACUCAACCAUUUUUUUCACGUUUUUCAUCUGCAGAACAAAAUUAAUAAAGAUUUCUGUUUACUAAAUUCACUAUGAAAUGGGAUGGUGGUGAAUGCACAAAAAUACUUUACAUGUCGGCAGACAUUA